rnacentral:rRNA from 1 species
GCUGGCGGCAGGCCUAACACAUGCAAGUCGAGCGGAUGACGGGAGCUUGCUCCCGAAUUCAGCGGCGGACGGGUGAGUAAUGCCUAGGAAUCUGCCUGGUAGUGGGGGACAACGUCUCGAAAGGGACGCUAAUACCGCAUACGUCCUACGGGAGAAAGCAGGGGACCUUCGGGCCUUGCGCUAUCAGAUGAGCCUAGGUCGGAUUAGCUAGUUGGUGAGGUAAUGGCUCACCAAGGCGACGAUCCGUAACUGGUCUGAGAGGAUGAUCAGUCACACUGGAACUGAGACACGGUCCAGACUCCUACGGGAGGCAGCAGUGGGGAAUAUUGGACAAUGGGCGAAAGCCUGAUCCAGCCAUGCCGCGUGUGUGAAGAAGGUCUUCGGAUUGUAAAGCACUUUAAGUUGGGAGGAAGGGCAUUAACCUAAUACGUUAGUGUUUUGACGUUACCGACAGAAUAAGCACCGGCUAACUCUGUGCCA